AUGCAUAAAUGCUUAUAUUUAACAUUCAUUAAUAGAUAAAAAAAAUUAAAAUAUUUAUAUAUAUUUAACAGAAUAUACACAUAAAUGUUGACAACAUAAAGUGGCGGGUUAAUCACACACACAUUAAUUGCAACUAUACAUAUAGAUAUUAAAAAAUAUAUAGUAAAAAUGCAAGACGCCAUGGAUCCAUUGAUUUUUUGCGUCAUUUUUAAAUGAACUAAAAAUUUGGUAGCUAUGGCUUUUGUGAUUGCAUAGGAGUUUCCCCUCGGAAAGAUAAUAAAAUACCACAUGAUGACAAUAAUGUGCAAUGUGACAUUAUAACUGUGACAUUAUUAAUUUUAACAAGACAUAAAGGCACGAGAUCGCGAAAAUGAAUUAUAUUAAGUAUAAUUGCCUAAGUUAUGAAACGUUCAUUUGUAAUAUUCACGAAGUGAAUUUCCCUCAAGUAAUAGUCUCCCGCGAGAGUAACUCGGUGGGGAGUCUUGACGUAUGAGACGCACGCCCCUACUUCGCGCCCUACAUCUAGCCAUAAUAGUAAUCAGUUGGAAGUCGAAGACGAAGGAACGAAGAGAAACCGUGCUUCUUCUAGAGUGCGCUGACACGCUCUUCUCCGUAUUAUUUCUGGCAUGACUGAAUCAUUGGCAGCUGGCUGAGGACGGAGCCAAAAUAGUUAACUACCUCGACCAGCUUCUUCCUUUGAAAUUACCAUGCUGACGAAGCGUUGAGCGAAGGUGGUAGUCUAGAAGUCUGGGAUCAAAGACAGAGAGCUGGACCACGGAAAAGAAUAUCUCCUUGAUGAAUCAUCGUGCCCAUUUGUUCUCUUGAAAAGUAUACUAUCGUCCCAUCUUCAAGGUCGCUCAAAGCUGUUCAUACUUUUUUUACUCAUAAUAUUCAUGGCUCGCGUUUAAAACACGAAGAACUGAAUUUAAUUCUUGAGAAUUCUUCUUUUCACCAGUUAAAUAUUUAGAAAUAACUGAAGAAGAUUGAAGCGUCUAUUUUUUUGAAAAUAUACUCGUUCAAUUUGAUGUGUGAAAUUUCCGACGAUUGGGAACCAAUAUUCAAAAUCUUUGAUGCUCAUGUAGAAUUUAUAAUUCACAUAAAUUUCUGAUGAAUAAUAGAUAUUUUUAGCAAUAUAUGUAACACGCCUAAGUACUCUCCAUUUAAAGAUUCGUGUAUACCAUGCAAUGCAUUUUAAAAUAUAAAAAAUCGUAUAAUAAACUUACAAAUUAUUAAUAGAGUAAUAUUAAAAAGUAAAGGUUUAAAGUUUAAAAUAUAAAGAUGGUAGACUAAUGCGGAUUAUAAAUCAGUUUUAAACAAUUUUUAAAGCGUUUAUAAGCAAGAACAAUCCACGAUUCGUUGUGGUCGAUGAAUCUUCGCGGAGUUCCAAGCCGGCGGCCAAAUAUAGCUAGGUAAUGUAAUACACAUCACGUGUUCAAAAAUAGCUUAAGAAAAGGGCCUAGCCGAGUGUGCACACGACACUGCAUCUGCUUUUCCGCUCGGAACGUGUGCCGCCUCACAGAAACGGUUAAUAUAAAUAUACGUGUAUAUAUCUGCGAACUUGUUAUUUAUAAAAACAUCUUAUGCAAACGCAAGUCAAACCGGUUAUAUGCUUCCACGAUAGUUUUUCGAUCAAAGAGAAAUGAGUAAACAAAUUUUCAUUUCUAUAUUAUAUCAGCUCUCUUCCUUUAUAAACUUUGUGCUAUGUUUUUUCCCCUCUUGAUACACCUCAGAGAUUUCAACGGAAGCACGUUCUUCGUUACAAAGAUCCAAUGAUAUGCAGAUAUGGUUUUAUUUCACUAUGAAAAGAGUAUCGAGUGUAAUUCGAUCUCGAAUAAUUUAUUGCAUAGCGCGAACUUUAUAAACAUUUAACAUUAAUAAUUAUGUACAUUUUACAACAUAUUGAUUCUGAUCAUCUUCUAUUGCCACAAAGGUUUUCUUAUAUAGGAUAAUCGCGAUAAAAUCGUCAUUUACGACGACACUUUUAUCAUUAGGCGACGGUCGUCGAAAUAGCAACAAACGAGACUUGGACGUACUUACAACAUUCGGUUUUAUUGCGACUUUCAUUGUACAAUAAUAAAUAUUCGAUUAGUAAAUUGUUAGAUAUCGGGUAUCUCUAUCCGUGUGUGUAUAUAUUGUGUGAUUUCUUUAGUAAAUGAAUAUUUAUAAUUGUAGUGGGCAUACAUAUAAAUAUAUAUAGAGCAAGAUUAUGUAUGUAUGUAUAAAUGUAUAUAUAUAUAUAUAUUUUUUUUUCUAUUUCACGAUUUAUUUUUUAUAAUAAAUAUCGAGAUUACAGCGAACGAGUAAACGAGUUACGUAUUCAACGCAGUCGCACCGCUACUGAUCCUUUCUCAUUUUUAUCUCAUGAUAUUAACUAAUGUCGCGCAGAAUUUCAUAUUACUACAUUACCUAUUUACAGAGAAUUGAUAAUACUCGUUAUAAGAUUGUGAAUUCACAUUUUUGUCCUGAGUUUAAAGCCUAAAUAUUGAGGACACGGAACACUUGUACAAGACAUUUUGCUCUCUUGGCAUUUGCCUCAAGCUGACCUCAAGUAAUCUGCGCUUGUCCCGACCCAUUACAUUUACAGUUUCGAUUUUUGUUAUAUGAUAUACUGCUUUUACAGCACUUCAAUUUUAGCACCACCUUUGCGACUUUCGUAUACACUUGGAUGAUACAUAUCACGAUAUUUUUCAACGAGAAUCAUUAUAUUUUGCAAUAUAACCCCUCAAGUUUGUUAAUUAAUUACUCCUCGUUUCACUCGCUCAACUAUUCUCAAAAACAUGACGAGUUAGUACAAACUCCCCGGACGCGCGUGACACUGUUGAUUAGAGGAUUAUCGAAGUGAGGAAAUUUAUGGCGAUAUGUCGACAGGUUACGUUUUUUAAAAGAGGCAACAACAAAGCACAAAAAUAGAAUAUGAGGAUAUUUACGCGGCAAAUCGCGCUGCGCGGAGACGGCCGUACUUGAGACGAUCUAAAGAUGUUAAGACUCGCAAUGAAAGAGAACAUUAGGGGGCAAUUGAUUUACGUUAAUAAUGAUCAAAUGUAUAUUAGAAAAAUUUUUAAAUUCUUCCGAUAUGAUCAACUU